rnacentral:rRNA from 1 species
AAAUGCGAUACGCAUUGUGAAUUGCAGAUUUCAGUGAACCAUCAGAUUUCCGAACGCAUAUGGCGCUGUAGGGACUUCCCUGCAGCACGUCUGUUUCAGUGUCUUU